AGAGUUUGAUCAUGGCUCAGGAUGAACGCUGGCGGCGUGCUUAACACAUGCAAGUCGAACGAAGCACCUUGAUUUGAUUCUUCGGAUGAAGAUCCUGGUGACUGAGUGGCGGACGGGUGAGUAACGCGUGGGUAACCUGCCUCAUACAGGGGGAUAACAGUUAGAAAUGACUGCUAAUACCGCAUAGGACCACAGCACCGCAUGGUGCAGGGGUAAAAACUCCGGUGGUAUGAGAUGGACCCGCGUCUAAUUAGGUAGUUGGUGAGAUAACAGCCCACCAAGGCGACGAUCGGUAGCCGACCUGAGAGGGUGAUCGGCCACAUUGGAACUGAGAGACGGUCCAGACUCCUACGGGAGGCAGCAGUGGGGAAUAUUGGGCAAUGGGCGAAAGCCUGACCCAGCAACGCCGCGUGAGGGAAGAAGGGUUUCGGCUCGUAAACCUCUGUCCUAUGGGACGAAGGAAGUGACGGUACCAUAGGAGGAAGCCCCGGCUAACUACGUGCCAGCAGCCGCGGUAAUACGUAGGGGGCGAGCGUUGUCCGGAAUGAUUGGGCGUAAAGGGCGCGUAGGCGGCCUGCUAAGUCUGAAGUGAAAGUCCUGCUUUCAAGGUGGGAAGUGCUUUGGAUACUGGUGGGCUGGAGUGCAGGAGAGGAAAGCGGAAUUACCGGUGUAGCGGUGAAAUGCGUAGAGAUCGGUAGGAACACCAGUGGCGAAGGCGGCUUUCUGGACUGAAACUGACGCUGAGGCGCGAAAGCGUGGGGAGCAAACAGGAUUAGAUACCCUGGUAGUCCACGCGGUAAACGAUGAAUGCUAGGUGUAGGAGGUAUCGACCCCUUCUGUGCCGCAGUAAACACAAUAAGCAAUCCACCUGGGGAGUACGACCGCAAGGUUGAAACUCAAAGGAAUUGACGGGGGCCCGCACAAGCAGUGGAGUAUGUGGUUUAAUUCGACGCAACGCGAAGAACCUUACCAAGUCUUGACAUCCUGCGACGCACAUAGAAAUAUGUGUUUCCUUCGGGACGCAGAGACAGGUGGUGCAUGGUUGUCGUCAGCUCGUGUCGUGAGAUGUUGGGUUAAGUCCCGCAACGAGCGCAACCCUUAUGGUCAGUUACUACGCAAGAGGACUCUGGCCAGACUGCCGUUGACAAAACGGAGGAAGGUGGGGAUGACGUCAAAUCAUCAUGCCCUUUAUGACUUGGGCUACACACGUACUACAAUGGCGUUAAACAAAGAGAAGCAAGACCGCGAGGUGGAGCAAAACUCAGAAACUACGUCCCAGUUCGGACUGCAGGCUGCAACUCGCCUGCACGAAGUCGGAAUUGCUAGUGAUCGCAGAUCAGCAUGCUGCGGUGAAUACGUUCCCGGGCCUUGUACACACCGCCCGUCACACCAUGAGAGCCGGGGGGACCCGAAGUCGGUAGUCUAACCGCAAGGAGGACGCCGCCGAAGGUAAAACUGGUGAUUGGGGUGAAGUCGUAACAAGGUA
rnacentral:rRNA from 1 species